rnacentral:snRNA from 1 species
GUGUUCACUUAGGCAGCAUAUAUACUAAAAUUGGAACUAUACAGAGAAGAUUAGCAUGGUCCCUGCACAAGGAUGACACACAAAUUUGUGAAGUGUUCCAUAUUUUU